rnacentral:rRNA from 1 species
AUUGAACGCUGGCGGCAGGCCUAACACAUGCAAGUCGAACGAGUGGCGGACGGGUGAGUAAUGUCUGGGAAACUGCCCGAUUUCGGGGGAUAACUACUGGACACGGUAGCUAAUACCGCAUACCAUCGGAUGUGCCCAGAUGGGAUUAGCUAGUCGGUGGGGUAAUGGCUCACCUAGGCGACGAUCCCUAGCUGGUCUGAGAGGAUGACAAGCCACACUGGAACUGAGACAAGGUCCAGACUCCUACGGGAGGCAGCAGUGGGGAAGAUUGAACAAUGGGCGAAAGCCUGAGGCAGCCAUGCCGCGUGUAUGAAGAAGGCCUUCGGGUUGGAAAGUACUUUCAGCGAGGAGGCGUUACUCGAAGAAGAAGCACCGGCUAACUCCGUGCCAGCAGCCGCGGUAAUAC